rnacentral:lncRNA from 1 species
UGCAGUCUGUGUGGAUUCUAAUACCCACUAAAGAAUUAAAAUAAUUCUUUGAAUUGGUGGUAGAGACUUCCAAUUCAUAUAAGAUAGUGGGAGAACCUUUAGACUAAAGUUCAAGUCUUUAGGCUUAAUCAAUUCAUAAGCAUAGAGGUCUUGUAUUUUUCUUUCAGUUAUGGCUAGAUGUCUGUUGCUCCGUUCACUAUUUGAUAGUGAAUUAUUUAUAAGAUCCAACUUCGAUAGAUGGUAUCGAAAGUUAUAAAUAGUUCUAGAGCACGAAUGGAUCCUAUAUAUGAUUAUGGAUCUA